rnacentral:rRNA from 1 species
UACGAAGGGGGCUAGCGUUGUUCGGAAUCACUGGGCGUAAAGCGCACGUAGGCGGAUUUGUUAGUCAGGGGUGAAAUACCGGGGCUCAACCUCGGAACUGCCUUUGAUACUGCAGAUCUCGAGCCCGGAAGAGGUGAGUGGAAUUCCUAGUGUAGAGGUGAAAUUCGUAGAUAUUAGGAAGAACACCAGUGGCGAAGGCGGCUCACUGGAUCGGUACUGACGCUGAGGUGCGAAAGCGUGGGGAGCAGACAGG